rnacentral:rRNA from 1 species
CCUACGGGGGGCUGCAGUGGGGAAUAUUGCGCAAUGGGGGGAACCCUGACGCAGCGACGCCGCGUGAAGGAUGAAGGUUUUCGGAUUGUAAACUUCUUUGACCGGGGACGAAAGAAAUGACGGUACCCGGAAAACAAGCCACGGCUAACUACGUGCCAGCAGCCGCGGUAAUACGUAGGUGGCAAGCGUUGUCCGGAAUUACUGGGUGUAAAGGGCGUGUAGGCGGGAAUACAAGUCAAAUGUGAAACUCCACGGCUCAACCGUGGGCUUGCAUCUGAAACUGUGUUUCUUGAGUGUUGGAGAGGAAAGUGGAAUUCCUAGUGUAGCGGUGAAAUGCGUAGAGAUUAGGAGGAACACCAGUGGCGAAGGCGACUUUCUGGCCAACAACUGACGCUGAGGCGCGAAAGCGUGGGGAGCAAACAGGCUUAGAUACCCGGGUAGUC